rnacentral:misc_RNA from 1 species
CGGCAUUCCCGACUCCCUCCUCUUCUACCACAACAUCCUCUUCCUCCUCCUCAUCUUCACCCUCGCCCCGCUCCCCCUUGCGCUCCUCGAGCUCCGCCUCCCCGCCAAGCUGCUGCCGUUCAAGAUCCAGCCCGGCGUGCGGCUGCCGGCGGGAUCGUUCAUGCGGUGCUAUAAGGAGGUGAUGCGGCUGUUUGUGCUUGUCG